rnacentral:misc_RNA from 1 species
GAUGAAAUUCUAGUAUCAAUUUUUUUUUUAGUCUCGCUAUAUAUUUUAGAGGAAAUUUGUCUCAGUAAUUACUUUUUUCGUUGGAGACUAAUUUCCUUACUCCCUGCCGGUUAGCGGUUGCUCCUACCCUAUAUGGGCAGGGCCGCAGGGGUGGCCUUCCUUUCUUCAUUGCCUGAAUGUGGGUUCCCCUCUCCUACCUUUGAGUGGGUUGUGUAUAGUUUGUUUUGGAUUUGUUGAUUUGCAGGUUGAGCUUCUUGGUUGAGGGUUUUGUUGGCCUGCUGUUUAGGGGUUCUAUGCUGCUUUAUGGUGAUUCUGCGGAGAAGGGCAGCCUUGGGGACGUCCACGGUGCUCGCAAUGGUACCGGUUCCCCUAUAGCCGAUAUGAGAGUGAGAUUGACCAGAGCUCUACCCUCCUCUAUUUUCUUGGUGUUCAUAGCCUCGUUUUCUUGUCCUCUAUUUUAGCUACUCGGUGAAGU